rnacentral:rRNA from 1 species
CCCUUAGAUGUUCGGGGCCGCACGCGCGCUACACUGAAGGAAUCAGCACGUCUUUCUCCUUGUCCGAAAGGACUGGGUAACCCGCUGAACCUCCUUCGUGCUAGGGAUUGGGGCUUGUAAUUCUUCCCCAUGAACGAGGAAUUCCCAGUAAGCGCGAGUCAUAAGCUCGCGUUGAUUACGUCCCUGCCCUUUGUACACACCGCCCGUCGCUACUACCGAUUGGAUGGUUUAGUGAGAUCCUCGGAUUGGUCCCGGAGCGGCCUCUGGUCGUGCCGGAGUGCCGAAAAGAAUGUCGAACUUGAUCAUCUAGAGGAAGUAAAAGUCGUAACG